rnacentral:rRNA from 1 species
AUUGAACGCUGGCGGCAUGCUUUACACAUGCAAGUCGAACGGUAACAGGCCGCAAGGUGCUGACGAGUGGCGAACGGGUGAGUAAUGCAUCGGAACGUGCCCAGUCGUGGGGGAUAACGCAGCGAAAGCUGUGCUAAUACUGCAUACGAUCUAUGGAUGAAAGCGGGGGACCGUAAGGCCUCGCGCGAUUGGAGCGGCCGAUGUCAGAUUAGGUAGUUGGUGGGGUAAAGGCCUACCAAGCCGACGAUCUGUAGCUGGUCUGAGAGGACGACCAGCCACACGGGGACUGAGACACGGCCCAGACUCCUACGGGAGGCAGCAGUGGGGAAUUUUGGACAAUGGGCGCAAGCCUGAUCCAGCAAUGCCGCGUGCAGGAAGAAGGCCUUCGGGUUGUAAACUGCUUUUGUACGGAACGAAACGGUCUGGGUUAAUACCCUGGGCUAAUGACGGUACCGUAAGAAUAAGCACCGGCUAACUACGUGCCAGCCGCCGCGGUAAGAC